ACACACACACACACACACACACACCCUGUACACCCUGUAGUUUCCAAAUGGACUUGUUUAAAAUAAUGUUGGAUGAUCAAUGCCUAUGAUUUGCUCGGAGUGGAUCUGGUUAGGAAAUCACAUUGUUUACUGAAGUGAGGUCAGAGAGGAAGAGUCAGAUAGGGUAGAGCGGAAUGGGUCCGUCAGGAGUGGGGCUGGACCAGACCUAGGGACCACAGUCCUGCGAGGCUUAAGCGGUUCUCUACAAAUGGAUCUCAGUAGUUUUGGUUCUGCAUAGAACAUUCUUUGCCCAGCUAGUCAAAUGUUGCUUACAGGAAAAAAACUCUUUUCCAUUAGGUGAAAACCCCAACCUAUAUAACACAGAGAGCCCAAGGCCCAACUUGUGGGUAAAUAUUUUAUUUGGAGUCAUUUUCUAUUGGCAUAAUCGCCACAAACUGUUACUCUCAGGGUAUUUUUAGACCUGAGGUCCUGGGCCCGUUUGCGGUAGUGAGCACGCUAUGUGCAGUAUGAAGCGCUUGCCACAUGCCGGGCACUUGCUGGAUGAUGUCACGGAAUCUCUAUUCCAUUGAGCAGUCACGUGAAGAGUCCAGGAUCCUCUUGGUUUCUGCCCUCCGCGUGUCCGGGCAUCUAAUGUUUCUGCUGGAGAGAGCAGAUCUGCUAUUUUCUGGCACUGAAUUGUUGCUGCAUGCCAGAGCUGCCCUUGACCUGCUCAGAUAUCCUAAAGUGACAAGGCCUUUCGUGAUUCUGUGGGCAGCCAUUCUACGGACAGCGAGGAGGGCAGGAGGCUGGCUUCCGGCAACCAGGAGAUUCCAAGACAGCGGUGAAGAAUGUGCCUGGAACUGUUGGGUGUGGGUCUUAGGUGCUCGUGAUUGUGUGGGGAGCAGGGUGGAGAAAAGAUCUUUCCUGGUCAUCUGUACCGUCCUGGAGGCCUAGGCUGCUUGCCUUGGCUGAGCUCAUCUCUGUUUUAAGUCAAUGUCAACUCCCAGUGCCGUUCCUGAGUCUCGAGGUGAAAAAGAAGACACCAGGAAGCAUUGCCUGUGCUGUCCUCUCUCCUUUUUCUUUAAGGAAAGUCUGCUGGAUACUAUGGGCCUGUAGGCUGAAGAUGGAUA